GCACCAGGGACAGGUGUGUUUAC
rnacentral:miRNA from 1 species